GAGCACCUGUCCCCAGCAUAGUGUUGGGAUGAGACGUGCCUCAGGAAGGUGUCCCUCACCCAUGGCAUUCCCCCCUCCCUGCCUCUCCCCAUGGAGACCAACCUCCCCUUUCAACCAAGGAGCCAUCACCACUGAGAGCACACACUCCUCUUAACAAACACCCAUCCAGAUGGCCCAAAACAAGGACGUGCUCCAUCAGUGAUUCAGGCCAUGACUUAACAGUCCCCAUACAAUGAUGCACAAACAUCUUCACCAUUCCUGAGAAGAGAGCUCCAAAAGUAAGGGAGAUCGUGGUUGCUGGUGGUGGUGUUUUGCUAGGAACCCCAGCUCGUAUUGCUAUUUCUGGGGGGAUGACUGUGGAGAAGGAAAAAAGCAAAUGGAAGAG
rnacentral:lncRNA from 1 species